rnacentral:rRNA from 1 species
GACGAACGCUGGCGGCGUGCCUAAUACAUGCAAGUCGAACGCUUCUUUCCUCCCGAGUGCUUGCACUCAAUUGGAAAGAGGAGUGGCGGACGGGUGAGUAACACGUGGGUAACCUACCCAUCAGAGGGGGAUAACACUUGGAAACAGGUGCUAAUACCGCAUAACAGUUUAUGCCGCAUGGCAUAAGAGUGAAAGGCGCUUUCGGGUGUCGCUGAUGGAUGGACCCGCGGUGCAUUAGCUAGUUGGUGAGGUAACGGCUCACCAAGGCCACGAUGCAUAGCCGACCUGAGAGGGUGAUCGGCCACACUGGGACUGAGACACGGCCCAGACUCCUACGGGAGGCAGCAGUAGGGAAUCUUCGGCAAUGGACGAAAGUCUGACCGAGCAACGCCGCGUGAGUGAAGAAGGUUUUCGGAUCGUAAAACUCUGUUGUUAGAGAAGAACAAGGACGUUAGUAACUGAACGUCCCCUGACGGUAUCUAACCAGAAAGCCACGGCUAACUACGUGCCAGCAGCCGCGGUAAUACGUAGGUGGCUAGCGUUGUCCGGAUUUAUUGGGCGUAAAGCGAGCGCAGGCGGUUUCUUAAGUCUGAUGUGAAAGCCCCCGGCUCAACCGGGGAGGGUCAUUGGAAACUGGGAGACUUGAGUGCAAAAAGAGGAGAGUGGAAUUCCAUGUGUAGCGGUGAAAAUGCGUAGAUAUAUGGAGGAACACCAGUGGCGAAGGCGGCUCUCUGGUCUGUAACUGACGCUGAGGCUCGAAAAGCGUGGGGGAGCAAACAGGAUUAGAUACCCUGGUAGUCCACGCCGUAAACGAUGAGUGCUAAGUGUUGGAGGGUUUCCGCCCUUCAGUGCUGCAGCAAACGCAUUAAGCACUCCGCCUGGGGAGUACGACCGCAAGGUUGAAACUCAAAGGAAUUGACGGGGGCCCGCACAAGCGGUGGAGCAUGUGGUUUAAUUCGAAGCAACGCGAAGAACCUUACCAGGUCUUGACAUCCUUUGACCACUCUAGAGAUAGAGCUUUCCCUUCGGGGACAAAGUGACAGGUGGUGCAUGGUUGUCGUCAGCUCGUGUCGUGAGAUGUUGGGUUAAGUCCCGCAACGAGCGCAACCCUUAUUGUUAGUUGCCAUCAUUUAGUUGGGCACUCUAGCGAGACUGCCGGUGACAAACCGGAGGAAGGUGGGGAUGACGUCAAAUCAUCAUGCCCCUUAUGACCUGGGCUACACACGUGCUACAAUGGGAAGUACAACGAGUCGCUAGACCGCGAGGUCAUGCAAAUCUCUUAAAGCUUCUCUCAGUUCGGAUUGCAGGCUGCAACUCGCCUGCAUGAAGCCGGAAUCGCUAGUAAUCGCGGAUCAGCACGCCGCGGUGAAUACGUUCCCGGGCCUUGUACACACCGCCCGUCACACCACGAGAGUUUGUAACACCCGAAGUCGGUGAGGUAACCUUUUUGGAGCCAGCCGCCUAAGUGGGAUAGAUGAUUGGGGUGAAGUCGUAACAAGUAGCCGUA